UUUAUUUACCGUUGGCAACUAAUCUGAGAAAUACUCAAUCUGAAAAGUUCAUCUGUCCGCGACUCCGCGCACCGCUUAAUUAUUUUCGGACUAGACGAUCCCGACUUGAAACCGACUCGUAAAUCAAAACUUAAAGGCUCUCCUCGUCUCUCCGUCCUCUCAGGUGCGUCAAUCGGAUAAUCCUCACCAAGCUCCCCCCCUCAUUUUCGGCAGAUCGUCAAAAAUUGAAUGGCGGCAACAGCAGCUCAUCAGUUCGCUCAGUGCACUACUUGUCACGCUUGGAGCCCUGAUCAUUCCAUGAUUGCGUUCUGCCCAAACAGUAAUGAAGUACACAUCUAUAGAUUAUUACAAGAAAAGUGGGAGAAGAUGCAUGUUCUUCAAAAGCACGAUCAAAUUGUUUCUGGGAUAGAUUGGAGCAUAUCAUCCAACAGAAUCGUCACUGUAUCUCAUGAUAGGAAUUCAUAUGUGUGGAACCAGGAAGGGGCAGAUUGGGUUCCCACUCUUGUUAUAUUAAGGAUAAACCGUGCUGCACUUUGUGUUCAGUGGAGUCCCAGAGGGAACAAAUUUGCUGUUGGAAGUGGUGCCAAAACUGUUUGCAUAUGCUACUACGAGCAAGAAAAUAACUGGUGGGUCAGCAAGCUUAUAAGGAAAAAACACGACUCUUCUGUGACAAGCGUUGCUUGGCAUCCUAAUAAUAUUUUACUAGCUACUACAUCUACUGAUGCAAAGUGCCGAAUAUUUUCCACUUUCAUAAAGGGUGUUGAUAAGAGGAGUUCAGGAGCAGGGUCUUCAUCGGAUGCAAAAUUUGGCGAGCAAAUUGUUCAACUUGAUCUUUCAUUUGGCUGGGCAUUUGGUGUCAAAUGGUCACCAAGUGGCAAAACCUUAGCUUAUACUGGUCAUAAUUCCGUUAUCCACUUUGUGGAUGACAUUGGUCCUUCCCCUUCUGCCCAAACCGUAGCAUUCCGUGAUUUACCACUUCGUGAUGUAUUAUUUGUUUCUGAGAGAAUGGUCAUUGGUGUUGGAUACGAUUGCAAUCCAAUGGUAUUUGCGGCAGAUGAGAGAGGAAUAUGGAGCUUCAUCAGGUUCCUUACUGAAAGGAAAACAGCAUCUGCUGGUGUUAAAUAUGGUUCACAGCUGUCAGGAGCAUUUGGGAAACUGUAUGGACAAUCGAAAUACAGCACCGGCAAUGAUACUGUCCAAGUUUCUAUUCCCGAUGGAAAUGUCCAUGAAAACUGUAUCAAUUGUAUUAUGCCACUCAAUAAAGCUAAGGACUCUACAACAAUGCGCUUUAGCACCUCAGGGAUGGAUGGAAAAGUUGUGAUAUGGGAUUUGGACAACCAACUAGAUCUGCAUGAGUAUAUAUAGUUGUCUCUGACAAGUUCCAGAUGCAUUUGAUAUCAUCUGUAAGUCUAUUGUACUAUUGAUGUGGUUUCAUCUUUCAUCAUCAGUUUCUAUUUGGUCGGUCUCUCUUUUACUAUGUAAUGAAAUUAAAAUUUAGCAUUUCUUUUCCUGUUUUAAACAUUGACUUCUAGUGUAUAUAUAUCUGUGUGUUUUAUAAGGUUUGUCCUGAUUUAUGAUUGGGCAUUGGAUCUGAGGUCAUUUAUGAUGGUUCUUGUCUUCUAGAGGAUAGGCUUGAAACUAGAGUGAUAUUUAUAUUGAGGAUAACAUUUUUUUUAAUGUAACAAAUUUAUUCUUUUUGCUAGUGCUUGAGAAUAACCAUAAACAUCCACUCGUUGGAAUAAAAAUGUGGCAUGCUGUAUGCCUGUAUAUAUUCGUCUAGUCUAGUACUCUAGUGUCGUUAAGACUUAAGAUACAACAAUACUGUAUAUAGUUGCGCAGAGAGAUGCACAAAACCAGAUUCGGGCUGGCCUAAAAAAUAUGACUUUUUUUAAAAUCGGUUUAGAGUGGGCUUUUUCAAAACAGGUCGGGCCGGACCAAAAUUUCUUAACAAUAUCUAGGCCCCCGGAUCGGGAUUUUUCUUAUACUCUAGAUAUAUUUUUCGAAUAUUCAAUAUAUAUAUAUAUAUAAUAAUAUUCAAUAUAUAUAUAUAUAUAUUAAAAUAUUAGUAUAUAUGACUAUUUUCUGAUUUGGCUAAAAAAUAGCAAAUUAACCCAGAUUUUAGCAAAAUUUGAUAAAAACAUUAAUUUGUUUGAGUUUCUACUAUUUUUUUAAUAAGAAUCUGGACUAUACCCAGCUUUUACCCGGCCCCAAUCGAGCUUUAAUAAGGAUUCGGGUUUUUUCCGGAUCAGGCCAAAUCCGGGUUUUUUUCGAGCAAAGCCAGGCUUUUGGGAAAUAUACGUGGCCCUUUUAGGUCCUUGGUACCAAAUGGCUACUUUAUGCUUACUCUUCAUUUUGUCUCGAGUAUCGUGACACUCGAUACUCGGACAUGGUAAUGGACACUCCGACACUUAAUUUAGGUCAAAAACAUGUAAAAUUUUCACAAUAUCACCAAGUUGAUACUCGGACACGUAUCCACGUUGGACAUUUUCACCCGAGUCCGGGUAACAUUGCCGGACAGUUCUUUUUAGGAUCGUUCUUUUCCGAAUUGGAUUGCACGGACUUCUCGGAUUUGUUUUUUUGUGCGUCUAUGGUUGCGGUUGUAAAUACAGGAUUGCAGUUAGGUAAAGCAGGAACUGUGCCACCCUUGGUAUAGAACAUUCUUGCAAAUGUUUGAGAUUUGCAGUGAUCCUACAUCGUUCAAGUUCAUUACUGGAGAAAUUGGAGUAGUAAUUAAUGUGGUAGAAAUGAAGAAAUAAUAGCUUUCUGGCUUGCACCCAGCUGCUUCAGCCUUCAGAGUAUGGAUCAGUGACGGUGUUUUGUUGUAUGGGACCUAUUGCUACCAUUUUGGGAUCUGAGAAUGUGGUCAAUAUCUAUAAAGUGAACACUGAACAACAUUGUUUUUUCUUGGAUUCCCAAAUCAGUUUGUAAAUUUAAUAGAAGGGGAUGUUCCUUGGAAGGCUUACAAGUCGAAUGUUAUGCUUUAUCAUAUGGAAUAGUGUAUAUUAAAUGUUAAAUGUAGGUAGGUCAGAUUCGAUUAAGAGAAAAAGCUUGAUAGGUGGUUGUUCUUUCACAUCACAAGGACUCCCUUCAAUUUCUUGACUGCUACAGCUUAUAUUUGUCAAUAUAUUAGAUCCCAAGUUUUUUUUC